rnacentral:rRNA from 1 species
AGCAGCCGCGGUAAUUCCAGCUCCAAUAGCGUAUAUUAAAGUUGUUGCAGUUAAAAAGCUCGUAGUUGAAUUUCGGGAUCAGUAUGUUGGUCGUGCUUCGGUACGUACUGUCAUUACUGGUUUCUCCCUUCUGAAGAACCUUGGUGUCAUUAAUUUGGUGUCUUGGGGAAUCAGGACUGUUACUUUGAAAAAUUAGAGUGUUUAAAGCAGGCAUACGCUUGAAUACAUUAGCAUGGAAUAAUGAAAUAGGACGUUUGAUUCUAUUUUGUUGGUUUCUAGGAUCGACGUAAUGAUUAAUAGGGAUAGUUGGGGGCAUUAGUAUUCAAUUGUCAGAGGUGAAAUUCUUGGAUUUAUUGAAGACUAACUACUGCGAAAGCAUUUGCCAAGGAUGUUUUCAUUAAU